AAACGUUAAAACACCACCCCCUGGCUGGCGGUGUCAAAACAAAUUGCAAGUACUCGCUUACUCAUGAUAGCUGCUUCUCACUACAAGAUUCAGGAAAUGACAGCUUGGCUAAAAAAUCUACCCUCCACGGCUGCCCGACGUCGAGAUUACCUUUCUAUAUGUGGAUAAAUGUGUACAGACUACGAACUCUUGGUAGGGGCACGGCUUGGGAACCAUCAGAGCUUCCAUGUAGAAGGUGCCACGUAGAUGUCUGUAGAUGUGGCUGAUGCAACACUUGGAGGUGAUGUGGAGCGCUGUGGAGCAGAGCGAAAGAGGGCGUUUCCUGUGUGGUAAAAGUGCAAGACUCAAAGACGUCACGAGGGACAGAGAGCGAGCCCUGAAAUAGCCAUCUUCACUUCAGAUUGAUAAAGAUCUCUUUCAUCCUU